GGGUUGUGAGGUUAAGCGACUAAGCGUACACGGUGGAUGCCCUGGCAGUCAGAGGCGAUGAAGGACGUGCUAAUCUGCGAUAAGCGCCGGUAAGGUGAUAUGAACCGUUAUAACCGGCGAUUUCCGAAUGGGGAAACCCAGUGUGACUCGUCACACUAUCAUUAACUGAAUCCAUAGGUUAAUGAGGCGAACCGGGGGAACUGAAACAUCUAAGUACCCCGAGGAAAAGAAAUCAACCGAGAUUCCCCCAGUAGCGGCGAGCGAACGGGGAGGAGCCCAGAGCCUGAAUCAGCAUGUGUGUUAGUGGAAGCGUCUGGAAAGGCGCGCGAUACAGGGUGACAGCCCCGUACACAAAAGCGCAUGUGCUGUGAGCUCGAUGAGUAGGGCGGGACACGUGGUAUCCUGUCUGAAUAUGGGGGGACCAUCCUCCAAGGCUAAAUACUCCUGACUGACCGAUAGUGAACCAGUACCGUGAGGGAAAGGCGAAAAGAACCCCGGCGAGGGGAGUGAAAAAGAACCUGAAACCGUGUACGUACAAGCAGUGGGAGCACCCUUUUGGGUGUGACUGCGUACCUUUUGUAUAAUGGGUCAGCGACUUAUAUUCUGUAGCAAGGUUAACCGCAUAGGGGAGCCGGAGGGAAACCGAGUCUUAAUUGGGCGUUAAGUUGCAGGGUAUAGACCCGAAACCCGGUGAUCUAGCCAUGGGCAGGUUGAAGGUUGGGUAACACUAACUGGAGGACCGAACCGACUAAUGUUGAAAAAUUAGCGGAUGACCUGUGGCUGGGGGUGAAAGGCCAAUCAAACCGGGAGAUAGCUGGUUCUCCCCGAAAGCUAUUUAGGUAGCGCCUCGUGAAUUCAUCUCCGGGGGUAGAGCACUGUUUCGGCUAGGGGGCCAUCCCGGCUUACCAACCCGAUGCAAACUGCGAAUACCGGAGAAUGUUAUCACGGGAGACACACGGCGGGUGCUAACGUCCGUCGUGAAGAGGGAAACAACCCAGACCGCCAGCUAAGGUCCCAAAGUCAUGGUUAAGUGGGAAACGAUGUGGGAAGGCCCAGACAGCCAGGAUGUUGGCUUAGAAGCAGCCAUCAUUUAAAGAAAGCGUAAUAGCUCACUGGUCGAGUCGGCCUGCGCGGAAGAUGUAACGGGGCUAAACCAUGCACCGAAGCUGCGGCAGCGACGCUUAUGCGUUGUUGGGUAGGGGAGCGUUCUGUAAGCCUGCGAAGGUGGCCUGUGAGGGUUGCUGGAGGUAUCAGAAGUGCGAAUGCUGACAUAAGUAACGAUAAAGCGGGUGAAAAGCCCGCUCGCCGGAAGACCAAGGGUUCCUGUCCAACGUUAAUCGGGGCAGGGUGAGUCGACCCCUAAGGCGAGGCCGAAAGGCGUAGUCGAUGGGAAACGGGUUAAUAUUCCCGUACUUGGUGUUACUGCGAAGGGGGGACGGAGAAGGCUAUGUUGGCCGGGCGACGGUUGUCCCGGUUUAAGCGUGUAGGUGUGUGUUCCAGGUAAAUCCGGUUCACUUUAACACUGAGGCGUGACGACGAGGCACUACGGUGCUGAAGCAACAAAUGCCCUGCUUCCAGGAAAAGCCUCUAAGCAUCAGGUAACAUCAAAUCGUACCCCAAACCGACACAGGUGGUCAGGUAGAGAAUACCAAGGCGCUUGAGAGAACUCGGGUGAAGGAACUAGGCAAAAUGGUGCCGUAACUUCGGGAGAAGGCACGCUGACACGUAGGUGAAGUGAUUUACUCACGGAGCUGAAGUCAGUCGAAGAUACCAGCUGGCUGCAACUGUUUAUUAAAAACACAGCACUGUGCAAACACGAAAGUGGACGUAUACGGUGUGACGCCUGCCCGGUGCCGGAAGGUUAAUUGAUGGGGUCAGCGCAAGCGAAGCUCCUGAUCGAAGCCCCGGUAAACGGCGGCCGUAACUAUAACGGUCCUAAGGUAGCGAAAUUCCUUGUCGGGUAAGUUCCGACCUGCACGAAUGGCGUAAUGAUGGCCAGGCUGUCUCCACCCGAGACUCAGUGAAAUUGAACUCGCUGUGAAGAUGCAGUGUACCCGCGGCAAGACGGAAAGACCCCGUGAACCUUUACUAUAGCUUGACACUGAACAUUGAGCCUUGAUGUGUAGGAUAGGUGGGAGGCUUUGAAGUGUGGACGCCAGUCUGCAUGGAGCCGACCUUGAAAUACCACCCUUUAAUGUUUGAUGUUCUAACGUGGAUCCGUAAUCCGGGUUGCGGACAGUGUCUGGUGGGUAGUUUGACUGGGGCGGUCUCCUCCUAAAGAGUAACGGAGGAGCACGAAGGUUGGCUAAUCCUGGUCGGACAUCAGGAGGUUAGUGCAAUGGCAUAAGCCAGCUUGACUGCGAGCGUGACGGCGCGAGCAGGUGCGAAAGCAGGUCAUAGUGAUCCGGUGGUUCUGAAUGGAAGGGCCAUCGCUCAACGGAUAAAAGGUACUCCGGGGAUAACAGGCUGAUACCGCCCAAGAGUUCAUAUCGACGGCGGUGUUUGGCACCUCGAUGUCGGCUCAUCACAUCCUGGGGCUGAAGUAGGUCCCAAGGGUAUGGCUGUUCGCCAUUUAAAGUGGUACGCGAGCUGGGUUUAGAACGUCGUGAGACAGUUCGGUCCCUAUCUGCCGUGGGCGCUGGAGAACUGAGGGGGGCUGCUCCUAGUACGAGAGGACCGGAGUGGACGCAUCACUGGUGUUCGGGUUGUCAUGCCAAUGGCACUGCCCGGUAGCUAAAUGCGGAAGAGAUAAGUGCUGAAAGCAUCUAAGCACGAAACUUGCCCCGAGAUGAGUUCUCCCUGAGACUUAAAGUCUCCUGAAGGAACGUUGAAGACGACGACGUUGAUAGGCCGGGUGUGUAAGCGCAGCGAUGCGUUGAGCUAACCGGUACUAAUGAACCGUGAGGCUUAACCUUACAACGCCGAAG
rnacentral:rRNA from 1 species